rnacentral:Y_RNA from 1 species
GGUUGGUCUGAGUGCAGUGGUGCUUUCAACUAAUUGAUCAUAACCAGUUACAGAUUCCUUUGUUCCUUCUCCACUCCCACUGCUUCACUUGACCAGCCUUAA